CUCCCGUCCGGACGCUACACCUGUCACAUUGGUGAAAAGUAAAUAACGAGAAAAGAGGAUUUUUAAAUUAUUUUCAAAAGGUGGCUGAUUUUUAGGGAAUGCACUAUACACUAGUAUUACUCUAUAGCUGUUGUCCGCUACUGUUUUACCGUUGUUUUACAUUACUCUCGAAGCAGUACAAUGUAAGAAGUGAGCUGUGGAGCCUUAAAUCAGUUCAAGAUGUCAGCUGUUCGGCUCCUCACAGCAUUCCACAGGGUGACACCUGCUGCUGAGGCGCAUGCCUGUUAAUCCUACCAAAGAGAAAUAACACACUCUCUACAGAAGAAGCAAACCGAUGCAGAUAUACUGAACCCCACCCCUCCUCAGAACUGCUGAAUUUCUCUCUACACUUAAGAAGUGUCAAAACUCACCUCUUUCGGACUCGCUUCUCCGCUGAUCUUUGUCCGCUCUCUUCCAAUCGAAGGGUUGCUGGUUCGAAUCCCUGCCGCGGACGGUCGCGCUACUUUUGGAUCAUCAAAGCCGAUCCACAACCCUCAAAUUCGCCGUCUGCCUCUCGGACAUCUUUGCCUGAACGUCUCAUCAGCACCUAGAACGGAACCUCUCCAAAACAGAGAUCCUUCACCUCCCAGCUAGUCUGUCUUCCUGUUGAGAACCAACUUCAAAAACUGCUUCUCCCAAGCCUAUCCCGGAGACAUCGGGCACAAGGCUGGGGGGCACACCCUGGACAGGACACCAGUCCAUCACAAGGCCACGACUAGGCACCCAGGCACAGGUACCAGAGCAAUUGCAGGGCAAGCACUUUGCUCAAGGGCACCGCAGCCAGAAGCAGGGUUCAAACCAGCAACCUCCGUAACCAAAGGAAGCCGCUCCGACCACGACACCACCGCUCGAGAUUUUCCUAUUAAACUGGACAACUCGUUAAUUUCUCCUCCCUCGUUGGCUAGGAGCCUAUGAGUAAUGAUGUGUUCAUGUUUAAUAAUUUUUUUUUAAUAACAAUUUGUUUCAUGAUCAAUGAACCUUUAUGCAGAUACUCAUGUAAUGUUUACUUGUUCAUACACAGAACUUGGCAAAUGCGUCUGCCUCCAAAUUCCUCCUUCUGUUGAU